rnacentral:rRNA from 1 species
GUCUUUUUGAUAAUAAUUUAAAGUCUCGCCUGCCCACUGAUUUAUUAAAUGGCCGCGGUAUUUUGACCGUGCAAAGGUAGCAUAAUCAUUAGUUUUUUAAUUGAAAGCUGGAAUGAAUGGUUGGAUAAGAAAAAAUCUGUCUCAAAUUUAAUUUUAUAGAAUUUUAUUUUUAAGUAAAAAAGCUUAAAUAUUUUUAAAAGACGAGAAGACCCUAUAGAGUUUUAUAAAAUUUAAUAUUUUUUUAAUAAAGAAUUUAAGUAUUUAAAUAUUAAAUUUUAUUUGAUUGGGGUGAUUAAAAAAUUAAAGAAACUUUUUUUAUAAAAUUACAUUGAUAUAUGAAUAAAUGAUCCAUAUUAAAUGAUUAAAAGAAUAAAUUACCUUAGGGAUAACAGCGUAAUUUUUUCAAAGAGUUCAAAUCGAAGAAAAAGAUUGCGACCUCGAUGUUGGAUUAAAAUUAAUAUUUGGUGUAGAAGCUAAAUAAUUAGGUCUGUUCGACCUUUAAAAUUUUACA